rnacentral:lncRNA from 10 species
CUCGUGCACGGUUCGCGCACCCACUGACCUGCGCCCACUGUCUGGCACUCCCUAGUGAGAUGAACCCAGUACCUCAGAUGGAAAUGCAGAAAUCACCAUCUUCUGCGUCGCUCACGCUGGGAGCUGUAGACCGGAGCUGUUCCUAUUCGGCCAUCUUGAAUUGUAGGCAUUUUUAAAAACAGACUCUGGAGAUGAAUCUUUUCUAGUUAUAUACUUUCUCCUUCUUCAAAGGAUGGAACUUUAAGGAUGGAACCAAUUGGCUACAAAUCAUUUUAGCUGAUGCACUGAGACAAUUCUGAAGCAAACUGUCUUAUCCUGGAUUUUGUCAGUAACUGGAGUUGAAGGACUUGAAGAUUCUCAAGGAUUGAUCCAGAAUAUGUUCCAGCAAAAACUACAGCAGAGUAACUUUGACAAGAAAAAUGUUCACUUGCUACCUAAGGAGAGUCUCUGUCUCCUGACCUCUGAAUUUCGAAAUCCUCAGCUCUGGCUGCCACGCAGUGGGAACCGAAUGAGUAUGUACUGAAUGGCGAAUCCUAGUUCAGUCACUUGACUAGCUGGGUGACCUUGAGCAAGUAACUUAGCUUCUUGAAGCCUCAGUCUCCUUAUCUAUAAAAUGGGACUCAAAGGCUGAGUCGAGUAUUAAAUGAAAUAAUACACGUAAAGCACAGUGCCAAAAAUCUGGUAAUAACUCCAUCAGUAUAAGGCCACCUUAUUUGCCUUCUUUCACAAUUAUCACCAGAAUUGAAUUAAAAUUCAGAUGUGAUCAUGUCUUGAAAUGUAGAAAGAGUUAUGAAAAUGUAAGACUUACUAAGUUCACUUAUCGAACAUUUUUUGACCACCUACUAUGUGCUAUGCCUUGGACUAGGCUAGAGAUACAACAGUAAACAUCUUGACUAACGGAGAUUAUGCUGCUAUCUUGAAAUUUUGCCUGUUCCCAAAAGCCCCCAGCAUAUUAAUUUUGUUAAAUAUAUAUUCCCUUAUUAUAUAUAUAAAACAUAUAUAUCCU